rnacentral:lncRNA from 1 species
UUGAUCUCUAUUGGUCCAAUGCUUGGAUAGGAUCUCCUUCAAAUUGCUUGUAACCAUAUGAAGACAUCCAAUCUCUACAGAUCAGCCACAUGAAGAUCAGCACAGAUUAGGCUCCUUGGAAGUGCUAGCUUGCAAGGAUCUUGGAGAUUGAUUUCUUUCUUCUUCUUCAAGAAUCUUGGACACUCCAAAGGAUGAAAAGAUCUAGAGGAGG